rnacentral:rRNA from 1 species
AGUACGUGAAACCGUUCAGGGGUAAACCUGAGAAACCCGAAAGGUCGAAAGGGGAGAUUCAACGCGAAUCGGAGUUCGCGAGCGGCGCGUGCCGACGACGGGCCGUACCGUUUCGGUGGCUGGCCCGCUCCGCGCGUCGAACGAUCGGACACUGAACGCGUGCACUUCUCCUCCUGUAGGACGUCGCGACCCGUUGGGCGCCGGCCUAAGGACCGCGGUGGAGACCGGACUCGCCCCCGGGCGAGUGCGGACCCGCGGCCACCCGGCCGGUCCGACCGACGGUAUAACUAAGGCGCGGGGCCGCGAUUCGUUCGCGUCCGGCACGUCGCAAGCGCGAACGGUUAAAGCGGGCCGUCCGGGCCUCGUACCGGAUCCCGACCCGUUCGGCUGUUAGCGGCGCAGUCCUCGGACAGACCCCGCGCCAGUCCGCGGCGCUAUAGCUUUGGGUACUUUCAGGACCCGUCUUGAAAC